UGGGGAAUAUUGCACAAUGGGCGCAAGCCUGAUGCAGCCAUGCCGCGUGUAUGAAGAAGGCCUUCGGGUUGUAAAGUACUUUCAGCGGGGAUGAAGGGAGUAAAGUUAAUACCUUUGCUCAUUGACGUUACCCGCAGAAGAAGCACCGGCUAACUCCGUGCCAGAAGCCGCGGUAAUACGGAGGGUGCAAGCAUUAAUCGGAAUUACUGGGCGUAAAGCGCACGCAGGCGGUUUGUUAAGUCAGAUGUGAAAUCCCCGGGCUCAACCUGGGAACUGCAUCUGAUACUGGCAAGCUUGAGUCUCGUAGAGGGGGGUAGAAUUCCAGGUGUAGCGGUGAAAUGCGUAGAGAUCUGGAGGAAUACCGGUGGCGAAGGCGGCCCCCUGGACGAAGACUGACGCUCAGGUGCGAAAGCGUGGGGAGCAAACA
rnacentral:rRNA from 1 species